UACGAAGGGGGCUAGCGUUGCUCGGAAUCACUGGGCGUAAAGGGUGCGUAGGCGGGUUUUUAAGUCAGGGGUGAAAUCCUGGAGCUCAACUCCAGAACUGCCUUUGAUACUGAAGAUCUCGAGUCCGGGAGAGGUGAGUGGAACUGCGAGUGUAGAGGUGAAAUUCGUAGAUAUUCGCAAGAACACCAGUGGCGAAGGCGGCUCACUGGCCCGGUACUGACGCUGAGGCACGAAAGCGUGGGGAGCAACAGG
rnacentral:rRNA from 1 species